UUCGAGACAACAGUACAAAAAUCAUUGUAAGAGUAAAAGAAUUUUCUAUACAUUUUUUUUUUUUCUAAAUAAAAAAGUGAGAUUGAAAAGAAUUAGAGCUUCUUAAAAAGAAAACCUUUUUCCAUGUAAAUGUUGUUUGUGAAUAAUGUGUUUAUUUCUGUGGAGAAGUUGGGUGUUGGGCUUACCACGACUAAAGCAAGUUGGACAAGUGAACGGUACUCGACUCUCCUGACUCAAUGGCGCAGUACGAAAUAGCGGUAGAAUAUUAAACAAAUAAAUAAAAGCAAUAAAGAAACAAUAAAAUGAAAACAAAAAAAGUGACAGAAUCAAGAAAGCGGGAAAAGAACUGUAUUUCAAAUCACAAUAUAUUUCAACCCAUAAGAGUUUAAAAUUCCAGUCUUUGAAAACUUUUUGGAAUAUUCUAAAAAAAUGCUGGUUUUUUUUUUUGUCUUAAAUUUCUUGCCCUGCAAACUGUGGUAACAUUUUAUGAAAAACUGCUGAAUAAAGAUGUAUGCAAAUGACUUGAACGCCCAGAAUCUGUGGCAAGAUUUAAAUGGGCUCAAGGCCAUUUUCUCUUGAGUCGAGAAUAACACACUGCACACAUUAUUGUCGUCUCGUUAUCAUCAUCGCAUGCACAUCUUCAAAUGCUGACUGACCUCCUUGUCGUUAAUGGGACCUUGAGAGAGACUGUGUGGGCCAGAUGCUCUCAUUCCACGGCGCUUCUAUAUAUAACUGGCUUAUUAUAAAAACAUUUGAAAUGCCAGACAAUUGCAAAAAACAACAAUGAAAACAAAAAAUGUACGUGAACAAGUGAUAACAGUCUGGCAUGCAAAUGCAGACGCUGCGACGUAACUGCAGCCACAGUCGACCGUCGACGUGGCCGCUGCAUUAUUUGCAACCGGAUGUCUGGUCUGGUCCAGCAUCCAAAAGCAAAAUUUUGACAGUCAUAACAUUCAUAAACAACAACAAAGCAAAUGAGUUGCAUAAAUGAAUUACAACAAUGAAUGAAUUUACAUUGCCUCACACACACACACACAUAUACACAAAUACACGUAGUGCGCCCAAAUCAGCUGACUGAACUGUUUAGUGAUAGCUGUCAGACAUGUGGCCAAACUAACAGUCACACUGCUCGAAACAACAGCCAUCGAAAGAAAUCUAAUUGCACUUGGAGAGUUGCAACUAGGUGGCUAUUCAUUCAUAAAAACCCUGUCGCUCACACACAGAAAAUCAAGCAGCAGCAGCAGCGGCACCACAUGUUAUCCCCCCAUCCCGCCCCUGCCUGCAGAAAUCAAUUAACCAUCAAAGCCUACUCAGUGUGACAAGCAAACAUAGACGUUGCCAAACACCGUAUGUCAAUGUUGAGAAUUCAAAUUGGAAUUUGUACUGAACUCCCUGGCCCACAUAAUGGUAGCAAAUAAAAGCCAAACAUGAUGGAGAUAGACAAAAAAACAAGUAGAAAUUCAUCAAAAUGGAAAAAUUUAUCGCGCAAAGAGGCCAUCGUUCCUAUGAAACCGUACAAAAAGGCAACGGAAACGGCAGCUAUGACUGCCAAACACACAGA
rnacentral:sRNA from 1 species